rfam:Cricetulus griseus cell line CHO-K1, whole genome shotgun sequence.
GCCUCGUUAGUGCAGUAGGUAGUGCAUCAGUCUCAUAAUCUGAAGGUCGUGAGUUCGAUCCUCACACAAGGCA